UGACGCUCCGCUUGCCACAGCAGGUGGCGUGGACCAAGCUUCUCCUCGACCCCUUCCUCGGGGGUCACGCCAGGGCGGCCGCCAAUGCCCUCUCCCGUUUAGUAGGGGUAGGGGGACACGGCGAUGAGCAAGACGAAGACGCUUUGGUGGCGCGGUGCCGCAGCACGCACGGGCUUGACCCCCGACCUGCACUUGAAGAUCUGCGUCAGCCAGGCUCUCGGGGACAACGCCAUUGACCACCACGUCGAGGAGCAGGAGGCCAUCGGGAUCCAGACCCCGGGCCACCUGGGUCAUCAUCCCUUCUGGACCAGCCCCGGUUUGUUCCAAACCGUUUGAAAAAAGAACCAAAAAAUGGCCCUGGACGUGGAUUCUCAGAUCUUCUUCAUGUGAUGCCCCGCCCUCCACGCAGGACCAGGUGGGGCCAUGGACUGGGCAAGGGGAACACACCCGCUCCCCACUUGCUCUGAGUCAGGGACGGUGCCAGCUUUGCAAGGUUCACAGGAGCUGGCCAGGCCCCUGUGCAUGGGCACCACCUUCCCAGCCUCUCUGUGCGUCUGUUUCAUGGAACAAAGCCUGGUCCACGGGCUUGGGGCCAGAUGCUUCUCCAGGCCUCACACUCCUGCAGCUAGAAUAAGCAGCCAUGUCUGGGCAGCGUCUCGCUUCAUCUGCUGUCUGCUGACAGCCAGCUCAGAGUGACUUCCCCAGCAAAAUCCCCUGACCCCACACUGCUCAUGCGGGACCAUGGCCAAGGGCAGCUUCAGAGGAGCUACUUUCAGUGAAGACUCCAUGAAUACUGCCCCUCCUGGACCCCCACGAGGGGCCAGGGAUUCCUUGGGAAGGGAGAGACAGUGACGUCCACUGUCACAAGCUCUGCAAGUCUCUCAGAGCAUUCAUCGCUCAGACACCGUACAUGAGAGCUCUGUGUGCAGGUGACUCUUCUUAGUCCUCUAGGUUUUCUAGGCAAUUCAAUUCUCCAUGUUUCCCGCUUCCCGUCACCUCCAGCCUGCACCCCUCACUCAUGACUGGAGAUCCCUCCACUUCCAUCAGCCUGAGCUUUAACUUAAAUGGGGAAAAGCCUCAGGGAGCCAUCGGUGGCUUGGGAAACCACAAUCUGAGCGCCCGCACCCCCAGAACACUGACCGUUUCACACACUCUUGGUCUGACUGUAAAUGCAGUUCCUUUGUUUUUGGGAGGUUGUGAGGGGGACAGGAAGUUGCCUGCAUCUGAGUCCACUUUGGAUUGCACUCAGCUUUGAGAGAUGGUCAGACGUGCUCUGGUCAUCAGGCCUUGAGCAAGUCUCGGGGCACAGGCUCUGCGCCUCCUAGGUCCAGCAUGUUCUGGAGGAUGCUCGCUGGGCUGUGACAAUAACCCAGAGGCAGGUGAUGCUCUGCCUUCCACUCACCCACGUUUGCUGGGACAUGGCGGAUGCUGCUGUGGAUGCUGCUGACCCCGGAGUGUGCCUCCUGCAUCACGCUGGUGUUGAGUGUGGCCACGCCAAAUUUCCGGCCAUUUAUCACCCCAGUCAUGCUGCCCCAGCUCCCCUGGGGCUCCCCUGUAAGGAAGGGAAAGAAUGACAGUGCCACUGACUAUCCACCCCGGGGCCCACAGCACAAGCAGGCUGUCAUUCCCAUUUCGUGAAGGAGUAAAUGGAGGCUCGGAGAGUUCACCUCCACUUGUCCAAGGACACACAGCUAAGGGGUCAUGGACUCAACGCCCAGGGGAUCUUGGCUCUAAAAGGGAAGGGAGGCUGUUAGGAGGAACCCUGGGCUCAGGGCGGAGCUGGCUUCUAAUUCUGGCUCUGCCAUUCCUUAAAACCUGGCCACCUCAGGCCCCCAAG
rnacentral:lncRNA from 10 species